GCCAGAUAAGGGAAGCAGGCCUCCGAAGCCAGCAGUGGCAACCCACUUGGGUCCCUUUCAAUGCUGUGGAAGCGUUGUUCUUUCACUCUUCUCAAUAAAUCUUGCUGCUGCUCACUCUUUGGGUCUGCCCCGCUGUUAUGAGCUGUAACACUCACAGCCAGUGUCUGCAGUUUCACUCCUGAAGCCAGCAAGACCACAAACCCACAGGGCGGGACAAACAACUCCGGACAGGAGGAAUGAACAACUCUGGACGCGCCACUUCUAUGAACUUUUAUGAACUGUAACACUCACCGCAAAGGUCUGCAGCUUCACCCCUGAGGCCAGGGAGACCACGAACCCACCGGAAGGAAUGAACAACUCCAGACGCACUGCCUUUAAGAGCUGUAACACUUACCACGGAUGUCUGCAGCUUCACUCCUGAAGUCAGCGAGACCACAAACCCAACAGAAGGAAGAAACUCCCGACACAUCUGAACAUCUGAAGGAACAAACUCUGGACACACCAUCUUUAAGAACUGUAACACUCACCGUGAGGGUCAACCGCUUCAUUCUUGAAGUCAGCCAGACCAAGAACCCACCAAUUCCGAGUCUCACUUUGUUGCCUAAGCUAGAGUGCAGCGUCGUGAUCAAGGCUCACUGCAGCCUCAACAUCCUGAUCCCCAGUGUUCCUCCCACCUCAACCUCCCAAGUAGCUGGGACCACAGGCUCAUAGGCAGAAGGGACUUUCCUUGUCUCAGAUGAGAAUUUGGACUGUGGACUUCUGCUGAAAGUCAUUUAAUGCUGAAGUCACACUGAUGCAAGAGAUGGGAUACCAUGGCUUUGGGAAGCUCCACUCCUAUGGCUUGGCAGCGUACAGCCUCCCUUCUGGCUGCUUUCACAGGUUGGUGUUGAGUGCAGCUUUUCCAGGAUUUUGUGAGUAACCAGCUUUAAUUUGGAAAACCUAGACUUCUACAUACAGAUUGUUAUGUUUGGAACAGUGGCUCAUGCCUGUAAUCCCAGAACUUUGGGAGGCCCAGACGAGCGGAUCACCUAGGUCAGGAGUUGAGGCCAGCCUGGUCAACAUGGCAAAACCUCAUCUCUACUAAAAGUACAAAAAUUAUCCGGGCGUGGUUGUGGGCACCUGUAUUCUCAGGUACUUGGGAGACUGAGGCAGCAGAAUCGCUUGAACCCAGGAAGCAGAGGUUGCAGUGAGCCGAGAUCAGGCUGCUGCACUCUAGCCUGUGUGAUAGAGUGAGUGAGACUGUGUCUCAAAAAACAAAAAACAAAACAAAAAAACUUUCAAUUUAUUUUCCAGAGGUCUAUUUUUAAUUUAGUAACAAGAUUUUAAAAAAUAUAUAUAAAAUUAAAUAACAGUAGAAAGUUAGAACUAGGCCCUAUAAAAUAUAAAAUUGUCAAAAUUGGUUAGCAUGAUUGUAGCUUCAAGGAUCAUAUUGUUAAUGUGACAACUUCUGAAACCAAACAUCAUCAUGCUUGGCAUCAAGAGCUAAAGUAGUCAUGAGUUAAUGGAGAAGAACAACUAAGGAAUUGGCUGGUGAAGUAAAGUUUAUGCUAAAUUUAAUUGAAAUGAAAUAACAAAGCAGUUUGAAACGAACAUUCCAUUGAUUAUUUUUAAAAUUUUAUUUAUUAACAAAAUAGCUUAUACUAACUGCCCACUCUCUAUCCCAAUAGUCACAGCAAUAACAUAUAGUUAACAUUUGUAAUUAAAUAUUUCAUUUCAUACAAAUAGUAUUUUAAAAUUCAAGUGUUGAUUUUUAAGCCUUUGAAUGUUUGGCUGUUUAAAAUUUAAGUGCAUAUAAAAAAUUGUAGAAAAGGGUCAUUAUUAAUAAAAUAUUCAAAAUAUGGUAAAUUAUGCAUGAUGAUUUAAUAUAUGCAAAUUGACAAGUGAUGUGAAUAGUACAUUUGAAUAGAGAAAAUAUGUACAUAAAUGAAUGGUAUUUCAGAAUCUAAGCAAAUUGAUGACUCCAUUAUGUACUUGUCCCCAAUGUAAAUGAAAUAUUAAUUAGAAAACUUUUUUUUCACUAAAGGGCUGAACAUAAAGUGUGAUGGCAAAUUGGUGUGUUCUUGUAUUUCUUGUCUUUAAGAAUUCUUUUCAAUAUAUUUUCACUUAAUGUUUUAGCAACACUUUUCAUCAUCCUUUUACACUUAUAGCUGGACUAUGCUUAGUGAUAGAAAAUAGUUAUAUAAUGGGAUUAUACUUGGCCAUAUGAAUUUGACGGUAUGAGUUAAUCUAUGUUUCAUCUUACUUGUGUCUACUUGUAAGUCAUUGAUGCUAAUGUUAUUAGUAAUUUUUAUUGGGUAGAAAUAUUUUCUAUAUGACAUUUUUGAGAAAAAGAAGUCAAUAAAUCCCAUUUGAUAUGCAACAGAAAUAAAGAUCUCUUAUUUCAAUUUUAAAAUGCUUUAUAACUUACAUUGCUUUGUUUUAUGCAGUAUUUGUUUUGAUCAGAUGCAAAAUGAGCCAGUAAUGGCAUCUAACCACAAGUUUGAUAUAUUUUUUUAAAGAAAAAUUUCCAAAAUACUAUAACUGAGCAAUAGGCUAAUACUUCAUAAAUUAAAAUAUUUAAAUAUUCAAUCUUUCUGAGUGGAUAUUUGUUGCAUAUCUGAUAACUUGGCCUAAUUCUGUAAUUGGGAUGAGAACUACCCAAUUUUAUUGGUAACCUCUUUUCUGCUCUGCAACUUUGGAAAUAAUAUGGAGGACUUCAAAUUCAUUUGAGACAAAAAUAUUAAAAAUGUAACCCCUGAUUAGGAUUUCAGUUCCAAAGCUCUCCUUGGAGGGAUAUAGAGCUGGAGACAAUCAAUCACAUUUAUUUUUCAUCUCCUUAAUAUUGAUAUAUAAAAGUCAGGUUAAAAUUAGUAUCAAAAUGGGAAGCCUGCAUUGUAAACUGGCUGGAAUAAUACACUCUGCAAUAUGAAGGAAAAAGGAAAAAUUUAGUUGAUUCAUUUACUUAACUAUAAUUUUUUAAAGAAUUUUAAGUUUCUAAUAAAUUUAACUAUAAAUUUUUAAUUUUCUAUCUUUCAUUUAGUACCAUCUAUAUAAACUUUUCCAGGCUACUUCUCUGAAUCACCUGGCAAAAUCUUAUAAUUUACCACCUAACUGAAUAAAACACACACACACAAAAUAAUCUAUUUUUAAUAAUAAACAUCAUUUAUAAUUACGUUGUUGAGAUUGAGAGUAAUCAUCAGGUGUGGAAAAACUGAGGAAAUUUUAACAAUUUAAAAUGUAAUAAUCUUUUUUGUAUUAUGUGUGUUUUAUACUCAGAAGUGCAUAUGUUUUAUAAAAUUAUGUGAAUUUAUAAGUGUGGUCAAUAUUAAUAUUAAAUUGUAUCUUUUAAUAGUA
rnacentral:lncRNA from 1 species